rnacentral:ncRNA from 13 species
GGGGAAGUAGCUCAGAUGGUAGAGCGCUCGCUUAGCAUGCGAGAGGUAAAGGGUUCGAUACCCUUCUUCCUCA